rnacentral:sRNA from 1 species
CAUGCCCCUUAUACGCUGGGCUACACACGUGCUACAAUGGGUAGUACAGAGAGUCGCAAAGCCGUGAGGUGGAGCUAAUCUCAGAAAACUAUUCUUAGUUCGGAUUGUACUCUGCAACUCGAGUACAUGAAGUUGGAAUCGCUAGUAAUCGCGAAUCAGCAAUGUCGCGGUGAAUACGUUCUCGGGUCUUGUACACACCGCCCGUCACACCACGAGAGUUGGUUGCACCUGAAGUAGCAGGCCUAACCGUAAGGAGGGAUGCUCCGAGGGUGUGAUUAGCGAUUGGGGUGAAGUCGUAACAAGGUAUCCGUACGGGAACGUGCGGAUGGAUCACCUCCUUUCUAAGGAGAAUAUGUCUUUCUCUAUUCUAUUGGUAAUGUUCUUUACAUUACUUCUGAACAUUGGAAACUAUAUAGUAGAACAAACAAGAAAAAAAAUUAACUCUAACAAUUUCUUAGAGUUAGCUGUCAAAAAAAUAGGUUAAAAUAAUUAAGGGCACACAAAGGAUGCCUUGGUAGUAAGAGCCG